rnacentral:rRNA from 1 species
GGCNCCUUNNAUGCAGUCGAACGGCAGCACGGGUGCUUGCACCUGGUGGCGAGUGGCGAACGGGUGAGUAAUACAUCGGAACAUGUCCUGUAGUGGGGGAUAGCCCGGCGAAAGCCGGAUUAAUACCGCAUACGAUCUACGGAUGAAAGCGGGGGACCUUCGGGCCUCGCGCUAUAGGGUUGGCCGAUGGCUGAUUAGCUAGUUGGUGGGGUAAAGGCCUACCAAGGCGACGAUCAGUAGCUGGUCUGAGAGGACGACCAGCCACACUGGGACUGAGACACGGCCCAGACUCCUACGGGAGGCAGCAGUGGGGAAUUUUGGACAAUGGGCGAAAGCCUGAUCCAGCAAUGCCGCGUGUGUGAAGAAGGCCUUCGGGUUGUAAAGCACUUUUGUCCGGAAAGAAAUCCUUGGCUCUAAUACAGUCGGGGGAUGACGGUACCGGAAGAAUAAGCACCGGCUAACUACGUGCCAGCAGCCGCGGUAAUACGUAGGGUGCGAGCGUUAAUCGGAAUUACUGGGCGUAAAGCGUGCGCAGGCGGUUUGCUAAGACCGAUGUGAAAUCCCCGGGCUCAACCUGGGAACUGCAUUGGUGACUGGCAGGCUAGAGUAUGGCAGAGGGGGGUAGAAUUCCACGUGUAGCAGUGAAAUGCG